rnacentral:tRNA from 1 species
GAAUUUUUCAGCAAUUAAGCCGCUAACUUAACUCAUAGUGAUUAUCAUUAAAAAUUCU